GAUUAGCUAGUUGGUGGGGUAAAGGCUUACCAAGGCAACGAUCAGUAGCUGGUCUGAGAGGACGACCAGCCACACUGGGACUGAGACACGGCCCAGACUCCUACGGGAGGCAGCAGUGGGGAAUUUUGGACAAUGGGCGAAAGCCUGAUCCAGCCAUGCCGCGUGAGUGAAGAAGGCCUUCGGGUUGUAAAGCUCUUUUAGUCGGAAAGAAAGAGUCAUAGUAAAUAGCUAUGAUUUUGACGGUACCGACAGAAAAAGCA
rnacentral:rRNA from 1 species